CCUGGCUCAGGACGAACGCUGGCGGCGUGCUUAACACAUGCAAGUCGAACGGAAAGGCCCUUCGGGGUGCUCGAGUGGCGAACGGGUGAGUAACACGUGGGUGAUCUGCCCUGCACUUUGGGAUAAGCCUGGGAAACUGGGUCUAAUACCGGAUAGGACUACGGCCUUCAUGGGUUGUGGUGGAAAGCUUUUGCGGUGUGGGAUGGGCCCGCGGCCUAUCAGCUUGUUGGUGGGGUAAUGGCCUACCAAGGCGACGACGGGUAGCCGGCCUGAGAGGGUGACCGGCCACACUGGGACUGAGAUACGGCCCAGACUCCUACGGGAGGCAGCAGUGGGGAAUAUUGCACAAUGGGCGCAAGCCUGAUGCAGCGACGCCGCGUGAGGGAUGACGGCCUUCGGGUUGUAAACCUCUUUCAGUAGGGACGAAGCGCAAGUGACGGUACCUAUAGAAGAAGGACCGGCCAACUACGUGCCAGCAGCCGCGGUAAUACGUAGGGUCCGAGCGUUGUCCGGAAUUACUGGGCGUAAAGAGCUCGUAGGUGGUUUGUCGCGUUGUUCGUGAAAACUCACAGCUUAACUGUGGGCGUGCGGGCGAUACGGGCAGACUUGAGUACUGCAGGGGAGACUGGAAUUCCUGGUGUAGCGGUGGAAUGCGCAGAUAUCAGGAGGAACACCGGUGGCGAAGGCGGGUCUCUGGGCAGUAACUGACGCUGAGGAGCGAAAGCGUGGGGAGCGAACAGGAUUAGAUACCCUGGUAGUCCACGCCGUAAACGGUGGGUACUAGGUGUGGGUUUCCUUCCUUGGGAUCCGUGCCGUAGCUAACGCAUUAAGUACCCCGCCUGGGGAGUACGGCCGCAAGGCUAAAACUCAAAGAAAUUGACGGGGGCCCGCACAAGCGGCGGAGCAUGUGGAUUAAUUCGAUGCAACGCGAAGAACCUUACCUGGGUUUGACAUGCACAGGACGCCGGCAGAGAUGUCGGUUCCCUUGUGGCCUGUGUGCAGGUGGUGCAUGGCUGUCGUCAGCUCGUGUCGUGAGAUGUUGGGUUAAG
rnacentral:rRNA from 1 species